GUCUAUGGCCAUGCCACCCUUAACAAGCCCUAUCCUGUCUGAUCCCAUUUGAUCAGGGUCGGGCCUGGUUAGUACUUGGAUGGGAGAUCACCUAGGAAGACCAGGUGCUGUAGGCA
rnacentral:rRNA from 1 species